AGGCAUGAUACACCCACACACUGGAAUAUUACUCAGCCAUAAAAAAGAAUGAGAUCAAGAUGGAAACAGGGAAGAUGCUCAGAACAAGGAGAGCAGUAAAGCCACUCUCACAGCUGUUCUUGGGAAGGGAUUGUCAACUUCUUGGUACCUGGUGGCUGUGGCUUCCAAAAGCCUCAAGGCUUUAGCUGACUAAGGUGGGAAAAUGUGGCACUGCAACAAGCCAGUGCCCCUUCCCCCAAACAAAUAAAGCAAACUUGUGGGAUGUAUUUCUUCCACAUGG